rnacentral:rRNA from 1 species
GUCUAAUCUGCCCACUGAUUUUAUAUUAAAGGGCUGCAGUAUAUUGACUGUACAAAGGUAGCAUAAUCAUUAGUCUUUUAAUUGAAGACUUGUAUGAAAGAUUUGAUGAGAUAUAAACUGUCUCUAAAUUAUUAGUAAAAUUUAAUUUUUUAGUUAAAAAGCUAAAAUAAUUUUAAAAGACGAGAAGACCCUAUAGAGUUUUAUAAAUUUAUUAUUUAAGAUUAUAUAUAUAAAUAAAAAUUAAAAUUAAUUAAUUUAUUUUAUUGGGGUGAUAAAAAAAUUAAAUAAACUUUUUUUAAAAAUUAUACAAUAAUAAAUGAUUAAAUGAUCCAUAAAUAAUGAUUAUAAGAAAAAAUUACCUUAGGGAUAACAGCGUAAUAUUUUUUUUUAGUACAAAUAAAAAAAAAAGUUUGCGACCUCGAUGUUGGAUUAAGAUAAAAUUUAAAUGCAAAAGUUUAAAAUUUUGAUCUGUUCGAUCAUUAAAAUCUU